rnacentral:rRNA from 1 species
UACGUAGGCAGCGAGCGUUGUUCGGAAUUACUGGGCGUAAAGAGUGUGUAGGCGGUGCUCUAAGUUCGGUGUGAAAUCUCCUGGCUCAACUGGGAGGGUGCGCCGGAAACUGGAGUGCUUGAGCGUGGGAGAGGAAAGCGGAAUUCCUGGUGUAGCGGUGAAAUGCGUAGAUAUCAGGAGGAACACCGGUGGUGUAAACGGCUUUCUGGACCAUAACUGACGCUGAGGCACGAAAGCUAGGGGAGCAAACAGG